GGAGGCGGUGGUGAAGUCCGUGAUCUCAAACACCUCGGACUCGGGCUGCGGGGAGAGAGCGGGAGAGGCGAUGGCUGAGACUCCAACUUACAAUUCUCCAAACAAAAUGCCCAGUGGAUAGUUGCCUUGGCAACAGCCUGUAAACUAAACAGUCUGGUUGUAGCAGUGGCUGCCUGAAGGAUUUUAUGCUAGAAGAAUUUGCUUUAAUAAUGGGAACACAGUUGGCUAUGCAAUCUGAAGUUUACCCAGAAAAUAAAAUCAAAGUACACAGAAUCACUGUGUGAAUUAGCUGCUAUCCAGUGAAGAGGGACAGCUAUGACCUAAAAAUGAUAUUUAGCUGCUCUUCGGAUUGGUGUCUCUGUUUCAAAACUUGCUCUUUGAUACAAGCUCUAGAUGCUUCAAAGGAAGUUAUAACACUUGUUAACAAUGUACCUAGUAGUGCAUUAAAUGGGGGAAAUUCUUUCCGGACCAUCAUGGAGCAUGUGGAUUUUACUACAGCCAUUUAAGUGUAUCUCACCAUGACCUGCCUCAACUAUCCUCUUCAAU